AUACGGAGGGUGCAAGCGUUAAUCGGAAUUACUGGGCGUAAAGAGUACGUAGGCGGCCUACUAAGUCAGAUGUGAAAGCCCAGGGCUCAACCUUGGAACUGCAUUUGAAACUGGUAGGCUAGAGUAUGGUAGAGGGGGGUAGAAUUUCUGGUGUAGCGGUGAAAUGCGUAGAUAUCAGAAGGAAUACCAGUGGCGAAGGCGGCCCCCUGGCCCAAUUCUGACGCUGAGGUACGAAAGCGUGGGUAGCGAACGGGAUUAGAAACCCCGGUAGUCC
rnacentral:rRNA from 1 species